GAGUUUGAUCCUGGCUCAGGAUGAACGCUGACAGAAUGCUUAACACAUGCAAGUCUACUUGAACUUCGGUUUGGGUGGCGGACGGGUGAGUAACGCGUAAAGAACUUGCCUCACAGUUAGGGACAACAUUUGGAAACGAAUGCUAAUACCUGAUAUUAUGAUUUUAGGGCAUCCUAAGAUUAUGAAAGCUAUAUGCGCUGUGAGAGAGCUUUGCGUCCCAUUAGCUAGUUGGAGAGGUAACGGCUCACCAAGGCGAUGAUGGGUAGCCGGCCUGAGAGGGUGAACGGCCACAAGGGGACUGAGACACGGCCCUUACUCCUACGGGAGGCAGCAGUGGGGAAUAUUGGACAAUGGACCAAAAGUCUGAUCCAGCAAUUCUGUGUGCACGAUGACGUUUUUCGGAAUGUAAAGUGCUUUCAGUUGGGAAGAAAAAAAUGACGGUACCAACAGAAGAAGUGACGGCUAAAUACGUGCCAGCAGCCGCGGUAAUACGUAUGUCACAAGCGUUAUCCGGAUUUAUUGGGCGUAAAGCGCGUCUAGGUGGUUAUGUAAGUCUGAUGUGAAAAUGCAGGGCUCAACUCUGUAUUGCGUUGGAAACUGUGUAACUAGAGUACUGGAGAGGUAAGCGGAACUACAAGUGUAGAGGUGAAAUUCGUAGAUAUUUGUAGGAAUGCCGAUGGGGAAGCCAGCUUACUGGACAGAUACUGACGCUAAAGCGCGAAAGCGUGGGUAGCAAACAGGAUUAGAUACCCUGGUAGUCCACGCCGUAAACG
rnacentral:rRNA from 1 species